AUGGACUGGACCUGGAGAAUUCUGUUCCUGGUGGCAGUGGCUGCAGGUGUGAACUCCCAGGUGCAGCUGUUGCAGUCUGGGGCUGAGGUGGGAAAACCUGGGACAUCAGUGAAGAUCUCCUGCAAGGCGUCCGGAUACACCUUUACCAGCUACUAUAUGCACUGGGUGCGGCAGACCCCAGGACAAGGGCUCGAGUGGAUGGGAUGGAUAUACCCUGAUGAUGGUGAUACAAAGUAUGCACAGAAGUUCCAGGGCAGACUCACCUUCACUGCAGACAAGUCCAAGGACACAGCCUACAUGGAACUGAGCAGGCUGAGCACUGAGGACACGGCCAUGUAUUACUGUAAGGACAUUGAACACAUACAAAUCAGGAUGACCUUCAAUUCCUUAAUUCACAAAGAGCAUAAUGUGGGCGAAAGUUCUGACCGAGGUCAAUGCAGAGCACAGAAGCAGGGGCCCGACCUGAGGGUCAGCCUGGGUUGUCAGUGUGACACAGUGUCUGAGAUCAUGGCCCUCAUGGGCAGGAACGUACAUCAGUGCCGGUUCCUCCUCUUUCUGGUGGCAGCUCCCAGAUAUGAGUAUCCUCUGCACAAUGGCUCCAAGGUGGGCCUGGGGCCUCUGGGCCCGUGA